rnacentral:rRNA from 1 species
AAAGGGUAGCAAUACCUGAGUAAAGCGGCGCACGGGUGAGUAACACGUGGGUAAUCUGCCCUGGAGUGGGGAAUAACACCGGGAAACCGGUGCUAAUACCGCAUACGAUCACGAUGUCUGCGGAUGUUGUGAUGAAAGGAGCAAUUCGCUCCAGGAGGAGCCCGCGGCUGAUUAGCUAGUUGGUGAGGUAAUGGCUCACCAAGGCAUCGAUCAGUAGCCGGUCUGAGAGGACGGUCGGCCACACUGGAACUGAGACACGGUCCAGACUCCUACGGGAGGCAGCAGUGGGGAAUUUUUGGCAAUGGGCGAAAGCCUGACCAAGCAACGCCGCGUGGGUGAUGAAGUAUCUCGGUACGUAAAACCCUUUCGACGGGGAAGAAACCGCAAGGUUGACGGUACCCGUAGAAGAAGCCCCGGCUAACUCCGUGCCAGCAGCCGCGGUAAUACGGGGGGGGCAAGCGUUGUUCGGAAUUACUGGGCGUAAAGGGUGCGUAGGUGGCUUGCUAAGUUGGAUGUGAAAACUCUGGGCUUAACCCAGAGCCUGCAUUCAAAACUGACAAGCUAGAGUUCUGGAGGGGGUAGCGGAAUUCCUGGUGUAGCGGUGAAAUGCGUAGAUAUCAGGAGGAACACCGGUGGCGAAGGCGGCUACCUGGACAGAAACUGACACUGAGGCACGAAAGCUAGGGGAGCAAACAGGAUUAGAUACCCUGGUAGUCCUAGCCC